AUGGCUUCUGCUAACAACGAGCAGCUAGUCAGCACCCCGACCGUCGACGCCGGCCAUGCGCGCACGCUGCUGAGCAGCGACGGCGGCCACGGGUACCUCGACGUCAGGAUGCGGGAGGACUUCGACAAGGAGCACGCCGGCGCUCGCAACGUCCCCUACUACCUCUCCGUCACUCCCCAAGGGAAGGAGAAGAACCCACGCUUUGUGGAGGAGGUGUCCGCGCUCUACGGGAAAGAAGAGCCCUUGAUCGUGGGUUGCCGCACGGGAGUGCGAUCCAAGCUCGCCACCGCUGACCUCAUAAACGUGGGUUUCGAGAACGCGAAGAGCCUGCAAGGUGGCUACCUUGCCUUUCUCCAGAGUGCGGCAGCAGACCAGCAGCAGUAA
rnacentral:rRNA from 1 species